AUUGAACGCUGGCGGCAUGCUUUACACAUGCAAGUCGAACGGUAACAGGCCUUCGGGUGCUGACGAGUGGCGAACGGGUGAGUAAUGCAUCGGAACGUACCCAGAGGUGGGGGAUAACGCAGCGAAAGCUGUGCUAAUACCGCAUGUGAUCUGAGGAUGAAAGCGGGGGACCGAGCUGCUAUGUUUGGCCUCGCGCCUUUGGAGCGGCCGAUGUCGGAUUAGCUAGUUGGUGGGGUAAAGGCCUACCAAGGCGACGAUCCGUAGCUGGUCUGAGAGGACGACCAGCCACACUGGGACUGAGACACGGCCCAGACUCCUACGGGAGGCAGCAGUGGGGAAUUUUGGACAAUGGGCGCAAGCCUGAUCCAGCAAUGCCGCGUGCGGGAAGAAGGCCUUCGGGUUGUAAACCGCUUUUGGCAGGAACGAAACGGUGUCCGCUAAUACCGGGCGCUAAUGACGGUACCUGCAGAAUAAGCACCGGCUAACUACGUG
rnacentral:rRNA from 1 species